AGUGGGAUGGCUGGGUCAAAUGGUGGUUCCAUUCCACGUUUUCUAAGGAAUACGCAUACUGCUUUCCAGAGUGGGUGCACCAAUUUGCAGUGCCACCAGCAAU
rnacentral:pre_miRNA from 1 species